rnacentral:rRNA from 1 species
AUACAGCGAAACUGCGAAUGGCUCAUUAUAUAAGUUAUCUUUUUAUUUGAUAGUGCCUUACUACUUGGAUAACCGUGGUAAUUCUAGAGCUAAUACAUGCUAAAAACCCCGACUUCGGAAGGGGUGUAUUUAUUAGAUACAAAACCAAUGCCCUUCGGGGCUCUUUGGUGAUUCAUGAUAACUAUACGAAUCGCACGGCCUUGCGCCGGCGAUGGUUCAUUCAAAUUUCUUCCCUAUCAACUUUCGAUGUUUGGGUAUUGGCCAAACAUGGUUGCAACGGGUAACGGAGGGUUAGGGCUCGACCCCGGAGAAGGAGCCUGAGAAACGGCUACUACAUCCAAGGAAGGCAGCAGGCGCGCAAAUUACCCAAUCCCGACUCGGGGAGGUAGUGACAAUAAAUACUGAUACAGGGCCCUUUCGGGCCUUGUAAUUGGAAUGAGUACAAUUUAAAUCCCUUAACGAGGAACAAUUGGAGGGCAAGUCUGGUGCCAGCAGCCGCGGUAAUUCCAGCUCCAAUAGCGUAUAU